AUCAACUUUCGAUGGUAGGAUAGAGGCCUACCAUGGUGGUAACGGGUAACGGGGUGUUAGGGCACGACACCGGAGAGGGAGCCUGAGAAACGGCUACCACAUCCAAGGAUGGCAGCAGGCGCGCAAAUUACCCAAUCCCGACACGGGGAGGUAGUGACAAUAAAUAACAAUACGGGGUUCUUUAGGAUUUCGUAAUUGGAAUGAGUACAAUUUAAAUCUCUUAACGAGGAACAAUUGGAGGGCAAGUCUGGUGCCAGCAGCCGCGGUAAUUCCAGCUCCAAUAGCGUAUAUUAAAGUUGUUGCAGUUAAAAAGCUCGUAGUUGAAUUUCGGGGUCAGUAGGUUGGUCAUGCCACUGGUAUGUACUGGCUUCACUGAUUCCUCCUUCCUGAUGAGCCGUAAUGCCAUUAAUUUGGUGUUGCGAGGAAUCUGGACUGUUACUUUGAAAAAAUUAGAGUGUUUAAAGCAGGCUAACGCUUGAAUACAUUAGCAUGGAAUAAUGAAAUAGGACGUUCGAUCUUAUUUUGUUGGUUUCUAAGAUUGACGUAAUGAUUAAUAGGGAUAGUUGGGGGCAUUAGUAUUCAAUUGUCAGAGGUGAAAUUCUUGGAUUUAUUGAAGACUAACUACUGCGAAAGCAUUUGCCAAGGAUGUUUUCAUUAAUCAAGAACGAAAGUUAGGGGAUCGAAGACGAUCAGAUACCGUCGUAGUCUUAACCAUAAACUAUGCCGACUAGGGAUCGGAUGAUGUUAAUUUUUUAAUGACUCAUUCGGCGCCUUACGGGAAACCAAAGUGUUUGGGUUC
rnacentral:rRNA from 1 species